rnacentral:rRNA from 1 species
GUGGGGAAUCUUAGACAAUGGGCGCAAGCCUGAUCUAGCCAUGCCGCGUGAUCGAUGAAGGCCUUAGGGUUGUAAAGAUCUUUCAGUGGGGAAGAUAAUGACUGUACCCACAGAAGAAGCCCCGGCUAACUCCGUGCCAGCAGCCGCGGUAAUACGGAGGGGGCUAGCGUUGUUCGGAAUUACUGGGCGUAAAGCGGACGUAGGCGGAACAGAAAGUCAGAGGUGAAAUCCCAGGGCUCAACCUUGGAACUGCCUUUGAAACUCCUGUUCUUGAGUUCGAGAGAGGUGAGUGGAAUUCCGAGUGUAGAGGUGAAAUUCGUAGAUAUUCGGAGGAACACCAGUGGCGAAGGCGGCUCACUGGCUCGAUACUGACGCUGAGGUGCGAAAGCGUGGGGAGCAAACAGGAUUAGAAACCCCUGUAGUCC